AUUGAACGCUGGCGGCAGGCCUAACACAUGCAAGUCGAACGAGUGGCGGACGGGUGAGUAAUGUCUGGGAAACUGCCUGAUGGAAGGGGAUAACUACUGGAAACGGUAGCUAAAAACGCAUACCAUAGGUGUUGCCCAGAUGGGAUUAGAUAGUGGGAGGGGUAAAGGCUCACCUAGGCGACGAUACCUAGCUGGUCUGAGAGGAUGACCGGCCAAACUGGAACUGAGACACGGUCCAGACUCCGAGGGGAGGCAGCAGUGGGGAAUAUCGCACAAUGGGCGCAAGCCUGAUGCAGCCAUGCCGCGUGUAUGAAGAAGGCCUUCGGGUUGUAAAGUACUUUCAGCGGGGAGGCGGUACCCGCAGAAGAAGCACCGGCUAACUCCGUGCCAGCAGCCGCGUUAAUAC
rnacentral:rRNA from 1 species